GUCCAAAGUGGCCCUGUCAUACGGCAGCUGCGGGGGCGAAUAUUUUAUAGUAUGACUACACACGUAGACGCUGCCGUGACUCAUGAUCGGACGGGGGUUCGAUUCCCCCCAUCUCCACCA
rnacentral:tmRNA from 1 species